rnacentral:rRNA from 1 species
UACGAAGGGGGCUAGCGUUGCUCGGAAUCACUGGGCGUAAAGCGCACGUAGGCGGCUUUCUAAGUCAGGGGUGAAAUCCUGGAGCUCAACUCCAGAACUGCCUUUGAUACUGGAAAGCUUGAGUUCGGGAGAGGUGAGUGGAACUGCGAGUGUAGAGGUGAAAUUCGUAGAUAUUCGCAAGAACACCAGUGGCGAAGGCGGCUCACUAGCCCGAUACUGACGCUGAGGUGCGAAAGCGUGGGGAGCAAACAGG